UGCAAGUCGAGCGGUAGCACAGAGAGCUUGCUCUCGGGUGACGAGCGGCGGACGGGUGAGUAAUGUCUGGGAAACUGCCUGAUGGAGGGGGAUAACUACUGGAAACGGUAGCUAAUACCGCAUAACGUCGCAAGACCAAAGUGGGGGACCUUCGGGCCUCAUGCCAUCAGAUGUGCCCAGAUGGGAUUAGCUGGUAGGUGGGGUAACGGCUCACCUAGGCGACGAUCCCUAGCUGGUCUGAGAGGAUGACCAGCCACACUGGAACUGAGACACGGUCCAGACUCCUACGGGAGGCAGCAGUGGGGAAUAUUGCACAAUGGGCGCAAGCCUGAUGCAGCCAUGCCGCGUGUGUGAAGAAGGCCUUCGGGUUGUAAAGCACUUUCAGCGGGGAGGAAGGCGGUGAGGUUAAUAACCUCAUCGAUUGACGUUACCCGCAGAAGAAGCACCGGCUAACUCCGUGCCAGCAGCCGCGGUAAUACGGAGGGUGCAAGCGUUAAUCGGAAUUACUGGGCGUAAAGCGCACGCAGGCGGUCUGUCAAGUCGGAUGUGAAAUCCCCGGGCUCAACCUGGGAACUGCAUUCGAAACUGGCAGGCUAGAGUCUUGUAGAGGGGGGUAGAAUUCCAGGUGUAGCGGUGAAAUGCGUAGAGAUCUGGAGGAAUACCGGUGGCGAAGGCGGCCCCCUGGACAAAGACUGACGCUCAGGUGCGAAAGCGUGGGGAGCAAACAGGAUUAGAUACCCUGGUAGUCCACGCUGUAAACGAUGUCGAUUUGGAGGUUGUGCCCUUGAGGCGUGGCUUCCGGAGCUAACGCGUUAAAUCGACCGCCUGGGGAGUACGGCCGCAAGGUUAAAACUCAAAUGAAUUGACGGGGGCCCGCACAAGCGGUGGAGCAUGUGGUUUAAUUCGAUGCAACGCGAAGAACCUUACCUGGUCUUGACAUCCACAGAACUUAGCAGAGAUGGUUUGGUGCCUUCGGGAACUGUGAGACAGGUGCUGCAUGGCUGUCGUCAGCUCGUGUUGUGAAAUGUUGGGUUAAGUCCCGCAACGAGCGCAACCCUUAUCCUUUGUUGCCAGCGGUUAGGCCGGGAACUCAAAGGAGACUGCCAGUGAUAAACUGGAGGAAGGUGGGGAUGACGUCAAGUCAUCAUGGCCCUUACGACCAGGGCUACACACGUGCUACAAUGGCAUAUACAAAGAGAAGCGACCUCGCGAGAGCAAGCGGACCUCAUAAAGUAUGUCGUAGUCCGGAUUGGAGUCUGCAACUCGACUCCAUGAAGUCGGAAUCGCUAGUAAUCGUAGAUCAGAAUGCUACGGUGAAUACGUUCCCGGGCCUUGUACACACCGCCCGUCACACCAUGGGAGUGGGUUGCAAAAGAAGUAGGUAGCUUAACCUUCGGGAGGGCGCUAC
rnacentral:rRNA from 1 species